ensembl:snRNA U2 U2 spliceosomal RNA
AUCGCUUCUCGGCCUUUUGGCUCAGAUCAAGUGCAGAAGGCUGACAAGAACUGGAUUUAUCUGAUUGAUUAUUGUCAAUUGUAAUCUGUGCUUCCCUUUGAUAGGAUUAAUGAUUAACCAGUGGCUAAGAUAUUACACUUUAACUUAAUGUAGAUGUAAGUGU